GGUCAGUAGUUCAGAGCCUCAGCAUUGGGGCUGUAUGCUUGGGUUCCCAUCUUGGCUCUUUUGCUGAGGGGCUCAUAAGCUUGGGCACAUUCAUCUCUGUCUUUUUCUGCCCAGCGAAAGGUGAUAGUAAAUCAAUCAUGCCAUUUGUCUGUGGUGAUGGCCGAAUGAUUUGAUGUAGGUAAAGUGUACAGUAUAAGUGCUCAUGAGGCUUAAUUAUCAGUGAAAUGUCUUGCUUUAGAUUUCACAGCUUAAUAAGGCUCAGAGGCUUAUUCACGCCCAGGAUUCUGACCUCCCAAGUCAUUGUUCUAUGACAUACACCUGCUUGGCCUAAAACCGACCACUUUAUCAUAAUGCAGACCCAGUUUUGAAAGAAGCAGAUAAAGUUGUCAAAAGUACUGUGUCUGCCUCAGCGCACACUCAGUGCGCUCCACACAAAGGGCAUCACCAUCUGCCACAAUGGCCCAGUGGCCUGGCUGGCACAGACAGUGGCAGAGCAAAGGGCAACAGAUCCCUAAUCCAAUCACCAUGGUCGAUAGGGCAUCAUAGACAUUCCAGGGUGAAGGCACAAUCCACAUUGUGAGGUCCAACUGCUGCCAGGCAGACAGGUGUGCUUUUACAUGUACAGGAAGGUCAUUGAAGGUUCAG
rnacentral:lncRNA from 10 species